GACGAACGCUGGCGGCGUGCUUAACACAUGCAAGUCGAGCGGUAAGGCCCUUUCGGGGGUACGACGAGCGGCGAACGGGUGAGUAACACGUGGGUGACCUGCCUCUAGCUCUGGGAUAAGCCUGGGAAGCUGGGUCUAAUACCGGAUAUGACCUCGCGGUGCAUGUUGCGGGGUGGAAAGCCUUGUGCGGCUAGGGAUGGGCCCGCGGCCUAUCAGCUUGUUGGUGGGGUGA
rnacentral:rRNA from 1 species